rnacentral:lncRNA from 1 species
GCCGCUCUAGGCGCCGCGGCCAAGACAGAUACCUGCUCCACGGACUGUGCAUUUCAGCGUGUGCGUGCGUGGACAGUCAGGCAAUAAAUGAUAAACAAAUACAUAAAUGAGGCAGUUACUAGUAGUGGUAACUGCUAGGAAGAAAAUAAAACAGAGAAAUGUGAUGGAGAGUGACCCAAGAGAGAAACUUAGGGUAGGAUGGGCCGGGCGCGGUGCUCACGCCUGUAAUCCCUGCACUUUGGAAGGCCGAGGCGGGUGGAUCACGAGUUCAGGAGAUCGAGACCAUACUGGCUAACACGGUGAAACUCCGUCUCUACCAAUACAAAAAAAAAAAAAAAAAAAAGAAAGAAAUUAGCCGGACGUGGUGGCGGGCGCCUGUAGUCCCAGCUACUCUGGAGGCUGAGGCAGGAGAAUGGCGUGAACACGGGAGGCGGAGCUUGCAGUAAGCCGAGAUCAUGCCACUGCACUCCAGCCUGGGCAACAGAGCGAGACUCCGUCUCAAAAAAAAAAAAAAAAAAAAAAAAGAAAGAAACUUAGGAUAGGAUGGAAAAGGAAGAUUUCCGUGAGUAGCUAACGUCUGAGAUGAGACCUAGGUCACAGAUUGUCAUGUAAGGAUAUG